CAGAGGAGCCAAGCGUUGUCCGGAGUAACUGGGCGUAAAGCGCACGCAGGCGGUUCUGUGCGUGGGGUGUGAAAGCUCUCGGCUUAACUGAGAGAGGCCACCUCAUACGGCAGAGCUUGAGGCUGUGAGAGGUCCACGGAAUUGCCGGUGUAGUGGUGAAAUGCGUAGAGAUCGGCAGGAACACCCAGGGGGAAACCAGUGGACUGGCACAGUACUGACGCUGAGGUGCGAAAGCGUGGGGAGCGAACCGGAUUAGAUACCCGGGUAGUCCACGCCGUAAACGAUGAAUACUCGGCAUCUGGCGGGCGAUUUUCGUCCGCCGGGUGCCCCAGCUAACGCGGUAAGUAUUCCGCCUGGGAACUACGAGCGCAAGCUUA
rnacentral:rRNA from 1 species